rnacentral:rRNA from 1 species
UACGUAGGUGGCAAGCGUUGUCCGGAAUUACUGGGCGUAAAGCGUGCGCAGGCGGUCUGUUAAGACCGAUGUGAAAUCCCCGGGCUUAACCUGGGAACUGCAUUGGUGACUGGCAGGCUUUGAGUGUGGCAGAGGGAGGUAGAAUUCCACGUGUAGCAGUGAAAUGCGUAGAGAUGUGGAGGAAUACCGAGUGCGAAGGCAGCCUCCUGGGCCAACACUGACGCUCAUGCACGAAAGCGUGGGGAGCAAACAGG